AGAACAUUCUCCGAUCUUUGGUGAUUCAGCUUAAAUGAUAGAAUUCAGACGUCUUCAUAAAGCUAGGUUACCAAAGCUCGGCGUUCCAGUUCG
rnacentral:pre_miRNA from 1 species